GAGCUCAGUGGCAGAGCAUCUGCUGUGCAUGCAAAAGGUUCCUGGUUCAAUUCCCUGGCAUCUCCA